rnacentral:rRNA from 1 species
GACGAACCGUCCUAACGUUGUUCGGAAUCACUGGGCUUAAAGGGCGCGUAGGCGGCUUGCCAAGUCAGGGGUGAAAUCCUGCAGCUUAACUGUAGAAGGGCCUUUGGUACUGGCGAGCUCGAGGGAGGUAGGGGUAUGUGGAACUUCCGGUGGAGCGGUGAAAUGCGUUGAUAUCGGAAGGAACGCCGGUGGCGAAAGCGACGUACUGGACCUCUUCUGACGCUGAGGCGCGAAAGCUAGGGGAGCAAACGGG